rnacentral:sRNA from 1 species
UUUUUUGUAUGUUGUCUUAUCUCAUCGGAAAUUUUCAAACUAGUUAACCAUCGGAAAAAAUCAAGACGCACGGAUAUAUAAAUUACAUAUUCAUAAAUCAGACAUUUGACAAUCCGAUAGAAAUUGUCUCAUAAAGAGAAAAAGAACACAGACAAUAGGAAAUGAAAUGAGCAGAGAUAAUUCAUAAGAAUGUUUUAGAAAAGAAAUUAAGCUUCGGUGAAGCUUGGGGGCUUGUAGGCAAUGAAACUGAUGCAUUGGACUUGACGGGUGUUGUCGAAUCCGAUGAUCCUAAUGAAGGCGCCCGGGUACUCCUUCUUGCAUUCUUCAACUUCCUUCAACACUUGAGCGGAGUCGGUGCAUCCGAACAAUGGAAGCUUCCACAUUGUCCAGUACCGUCCAUCGUAGUAUCCGGGAGUGUUUCCGUGCUCACGGUACACAAAUCCGUGCUAUAAACACAUAAGAAAACCAUUCAAUACAA